GAUGAACGCUGGCGGCGUGCCUAAUACAUGCAAGUCGAGCGAACAGACGAGGCGCUUGCUCCUCUGACGUUAGCGGCGGACGGGUGAGUAACACGUGGAUAACCUACCUAUAAGACUGGGAUAACUUCGGGAAACCGGAGCUAAUACCGGAUAAUAUAUUGAACCGCAUGGUUCAAUAGUGAAAGACGGUUUUGCUGUCACUUAUAGAUGGAUCCGCGCCGCAUUAGCUAGUUGGUAAGGUAACGGCUUACCAAGGCAACGAUGCGUAGCCGACCUGAGAGGGUGAUAGGCCACACUGGAACUGAGACACGGUCCAGACUCCUACGGGAGGCAGCAGUAGGGAAUCGUCCGCAAUGGGCGAAAGCAUGACGGAGCAACGCCGCGUGAGUGAUGUAGGUCUUCGGAUCGUAAAACUCUGUUAUUAGGGAAGAACAAAUGUGUAAGUAACUAUGCACGUCUUGACGGUACCUAAUCAGAAAGCCACGGCUAACUACGUG
rnacentral:rRNA from 1 species